AUUUGUAUAGUUUAAUGAAAACGAUAUAUUUUCAGUAUAUAAAUAGUAUAAAUUAUAUUUACAAAUG
rnacentral:tRNA from 1 species